AUGUUAGUAAGUGGUUUUAUGUCUAUAGAGGUUCAUGGUAUGCAGGAAAUAUCUAGUCUAGACUGUAUUCAAAGUUGUGUCAGUCUGCUGGCCCCAGUAUCUUACUUUCUACGGUUACAGAUGGACAGUGGUGUCACAAUUAGGAAUGGCUUCCCUGGUGGAUAUCAGAUAUCCAUCAUCCAAGAUCACAUCAGCCUAGUACUUCUGUUAUCAACAAUGAUGAUGAACAAUAAAAUAACUACCCUUAACUUAGAUUUUCCCAUGCUUCUAAACAAAAAUUUGCAGAUAUUUGCUGCUUGA
rnacentral:lncRNA from 1 species